AGUGAACGCUGGCGGUAGGCCUAACACAUGCAAGUCGAACGGCAGCACAGUAAGAGCUUGCUCUUACGGGUGGCGAGUGGCGGACGGGUGAGGAAUACAUCGGAAUCUACUUUUUCGUGGGGGAUAACGUAGGGAAACUUACGCUAAUACCGCAUACGACCUACGGGUGAAAGCAGGGGAUCUUCGGACCUUGCGCGAUUGAAUGAGCCGAUGUCGGAUUAGCUAGUUGGCGGGGUAAAGGCCCACCAAGGCGACGAUCCGUAGCUGGUCUGAGAGGAUGAUCAGCCACACUGGAAAUGAGACACGGUCCAGACUACUACGGGAAGCAGCAGUGGGGAAUAUUGGACAAUGGGCGCAAGCCUGAUCCAGCCAUACCGCGUGGGUGAAGAAGGCCUUCGGGUUGUAAAGCCCUUUUGUUGGGAAAGAAAAGCAGCAGGUUAAUACCCCGCUAUUCUGACGGUACCCAAAGAAUAAGCACCGGCUAACUUCGUG
rnacentral:rRNA from 1 species